GGGGGUGAAUGGUCUCGACUCCGGUUGUCGAGACAGGGGAAGCGGGCCGAGGACCGCAUUGCUGACCUCGUAAAAAAAGCGAUGCAAACAAAAUAAGCGCCGACGAGAGUCGCGCCGACUUCGCUCUCGCUGCCUAAUCGCA
rnacentral:tmRNA from 1 species